CCUACGGGCGGCAGCAGUGGGGAAUAUUGGGCAAUGGGCGCAAGCCUGACCCAGCAACGCCGCGUGAGGGAAGAAGGCUUUCGGGUUGGAAACUUAUUGUGUCCGGGAAGAGUAGAAGACGGUCCCUGACGAAUAAGCCACGGCUAACUACGUGCCAGCAGCCGGGGUAAUACGUAGGUGGCAACCGUGUUCCGGAUUUACUGGGUGUAAAGGGCGGGUAGCCGGGUUGACAAGUGAGAUGUGAAAUCCUGCGGCUUAACCGCAGAACUGCAUUUGAAACUGUUGAUCUUGAGUAAUGGAGAGGCAGAUGGAAUUCCUAGUGUAGCGGUGAAAUGCGUAGAUAUUAGGAGGAACACCAGUGGCGAAGGCGGUCUGCUGGACAUCAACUGACGGUGAGGCGCGAAAGCGUGGGGAGCAAACAGGAUUAGAUACCCCUGUAGUC
rnacentral:rRNA from 1 species